UUUACAUCAUUUCAAGUGUGUGGUGCCAUGGAUGGAGUCUUGCCCUUUCCUUCUGUACAAUAUGUACUUGUUCUGUGUCCAAGGCCAUUUUACAUUUGAAUGGGAUUGUAGCAUUUUGUUAAGUUAUGGCUCUCACCUACGCUUGAAAGUUUGUUACCCGCUGCUGGUGGCAUACUUGCACGUGUGUGACAUCUUUUUCAAUAAUAGAAAGUCUUUCACUUAUCCUGUGUACUGCUUGUCUUCAUCUUUUUGCAUUACAAUUUACCUAUUCUUGCUCUUUUGUUGCAUUUCAUAUUAAAAAUGGCUAUCAUAGUUGACAUCAUUUAACCAUUUUGCACACAAUAUGGAUAAGGAAACCUGCCGUCAGGUUAUAUUCACAGUGUAAGCACAGAACCAUCUCGGACCGCGCCCAGCCUAUCACCCUUCAGUAGCCAAGAAGAAUGCAACACCCCCAUGUUUAUGAUAUUAGCAUGUUUGUACGGGCAGUUGUUCUUACAGUGGCCUGUUUGCCCAGUGCAGAAGCUGCUGCGGGAUGUCAGAAUCUCUUACAAAACAUUGGCUUUGCAAGGGAUACAGCAUCUGGCAUGUAGUUUGUCACAGGCAAUGGCUUCGGGGAAAGUUGAGUUUACUCACUUGCAAAGGGAGAACCAAGCUUGUUGGAUAUGAAGUAAACCACCUGUACACUCGGCAGCCUUCUUCAUUUUGUUUGACAUAUGCGGCUAUAGCAACCUUUGCUUUAUCUACUUUUUGUCAGGCAGCAGUCUUUUGCUUCCGAAACUCACUCAGGAUAGCUUUCAGUAAGCCGGACAG
rnacentral:lncRNA from 1 species